UACGUAGGGCGCAAGCGUUUGUCCGGAAUUAUUGGGCGUAAAGAGCUCGUAGGCGGUUUGUCGCGUCUGCUGUGAAAACCUAAGGCUCAACCUUGGGCUUGCAGUGGGUACGGGCAGACUAGAGUGCGGUAGGGGUGACUGGAAUUCCUGGUGUAGCGGUGGAAUGCGCAGAUAUCAGAAGGAACACCGAUGGCGAAGGCAGGUCACUGGGCCGCAACUGACGCU
rnacentral:rRNA from 1 species